CCUACGGGAGGCAGCAGUGGGGAAUAUUGCACAAUGGGGGAAACCCUGAUGCAGCAAUGCCGCGUGAAGGAAGAAGCACUUCGGUGUGUAAAGCUCUAUCAGCAGGGAAGAAAAUGACAGUACCUGAACAAGAAGCCCCGGCUAACUACGUGCCAGCAGCCGCGGUAAUACGUAGGGGGCAAGCGUUAUCCGGAUUUACUGGGUGUAAAGGGAGCGUAGGCGGUUUGGCAAGUCAGAGGUGAAAGCCCGGGGCCCAACCCCGGGACUGCAUUUGAAACUGGUAGACUGGAGUGCAGGAGAGGUAAGUGGAAUUCCUAGUGUAGCGGUGAAAUGCGUAGAUAUUAGGAGGAACACCAGUGGCGGAGGCGGCUUACUGGACUGUAAAUGACGCUGAGGCUCGAAAGCGUGGGGAGCAAACAGGAUUAGAUACCCGGGUAGUC
rnacentral:rRNA from 1 species